rnacentral:lncRNA from 1 species
AUCAGUCUCUUGAGAGUUUGCACAGCCUGGGCGGGUCCCUGACCUCUGAGGCACCAACCAGAUAUAGCUGCUGCCUCUCAAAGUGGAGGACACGUUCCUGGGACCUGGUGAAGAGUUGGCGUGCAUUAAAGUCAAAAGGUUACAUAGAGCUCAGCUGUGAAACCAUCUGUUCCUGGUGCCUUUUGUGAUGGUGGAUCUUUAACCACCUUUCCAGUCUCCCUGUGGUAGGUAAUUGGUCUUCUCAUUUUCUAAAUUUCCUUAGGUCAAUU